UAAUUGUUUUUAAAAUUGUGCAAAGUUCUGUUCGUUUCAACAAGAGUAGUAGAUAUUUCUGGGUUUGAUUUAAACCGAUUUGCCAGGGAUAUAAUUUUUCAUCUGUACAUUUCCUUAAAGCAUGAUUGGUAAUAUCUGCUGAUAACAAGUAAUUGCCAUGAACAUAAAAGAAAGAAGAUAACAGCAGCCAUCCACCUACUGCAUCUGAAUUUGUUCCAAUCAACAGGUGACUCAGUUCCUGUUUGUACUUGUAGUAUUCAUUUUUGUUGUUUGAUCUCGGUUGAUCUUGUGAUAUUUGCGGUAUAUUUUGGAAUGCGAAUGACAGUAUUACAAAAAAAAUGCUUCUUGAUAUGUUUGAUCUUGAAAGAUGUACAAAAUGAUAUAGCAGAUUGAGAGGUCUAUUGGUGAAUUAAAGAUAAAUCGUUCAUUAUUUCGUUCAGCGAUACAACACGUCUACCUAAUGGUGAAUCCAUGACGUUUACUGGAAGUGUCAUUAAAUCAAAUAGAGUUUCCGACAGAGCAAAAGAGUAUAUUCCUUUUUCAAAUAAAUUCUUUAGAAUGCGUUCGAUUUUGUCUUUUUUAUCAACAUCAAAUCGCAUAUACAAUAAG
rnacentral:lncRNA from 1 species